GUAGUCACUUCAGCAGCACAUAUACUAAAAUUGUAACAAUACAGAGAAAAUUAUCAUGGCCCCUGCACAAGAAUGACACACAAAUCCAUGAAGCCUUCCAUAUUUUU
rnacentral:snRNA from 1 species